rnacentral:rRNA from 1 species
GUGAGGAAUAUUGGGCAAUGGGCGAAAGCCUGACCCAGCCACGCCGCGUGAGUGAUGAAGGCCUUCGGGUUGUAAAGCUCUGUGGGGAGGGAAGAAAAAGCGCAGGAGUAACUGCCUGUGUGUUGACGGUACCUCCUUAGCAAGCACCGGCUAACUCUGUGUCAGCAGCCGCGGUAAUACAGAGGGUGCAAACGUUGCUCGGAAUUACUGGGCGUAAAGCGCGUGUAGGCUGACAUGCAAGUCGGGUGUGAAAUCCCAGGGCUCAACCUUGGAACUGCACUCGAAACUGCACGUCUUGAGUACUGGAGAGGGAAGCGGAAUUCCGGGUGUAGAGGUGAAAUUCGUAGAUAUCCGGAGGAACACCAGUGGCGAAGGCGGCUUCCUGGACAGUAACUGACGCUGAGACGCGAAAGCGUGGGGAGCAAACAGGAUUAGAAACCCCUGUAGUCC